rnacentral:lncRNA from 1 species
UUGACCAGCGGCAGGGGAAGGGGGAAAAGGCACGGCUGCAGAGGAGAAGGCGGCAGCGCCAUGCCCCAAGGCCAAGGGCCUUCCGGCAAGCCGGCAAAGGGGAAAAGGAGAGACGUACACGAGGCUCCACGGGCGGCCGGCGCACACCGGUGGCAUGCAUAGGAAUAAGCGUGGAAACUCAGCUAACAAGAUAAACAAGCGCAAGCGUGCUACAGGAACUAGGUCCUCACCUAAGAUCC